rnacentral:lncRNA from 1 species
UUUAGACAGCAAAAGUUGAUGUUAUAAUAAAAAAUAAUGCCAUCUUCAGUGCAUAUUCUUGAAGAGUUCACCCUCCUGUCGUCCUCUCUGUAGGGUCACCCUGGUCAGGACGGUGGCAGAGGAUUACCAGGACUGGAUGGUUGCAAUGGGACCCGAGGGGAUCCUGGAGUACCCGGCUUCGGGACAGGACAACGCGGAUUACCUGGGUUUGCUGGGCCUAGUGGGCCAAAGGGUCAAAAGGGAGAACCUCGAUACAUCUCAACUAAUGGCAUCCCGGUAAGGUCUCUUACACAUACACAUCACAUUUACAUUUAGGUUCCAGUUUUUACGUCAGCAUUUAUCUUCAUUUAUAACACAUGAUGCUUAGAAACUAAAUUCCUUUCAUGGAUCAAUGGUUCUAUCCAUUUGCACUUAUUUAUUUCCAUAUUUUCUGUAUUUUUACAGGCUAAAAUUGUUUUUCUAGUACAUAAAGUAGAUUAAAAAUGUAUUUCACUGUCAUCUCUUUUUUUUUUCCUUAUUUAGGGUUUACCGGGUUUGCCAGGACCAGACGGUGCCCCUGUAAGAUCUUUAUCUGUUCUGCUCACUGCACAAUAACAGCCCCGUGAAUUCAUACUGGAACAGAUGUUGUUGUGAACUGUGAUGCUAUAUGAUGUUGUUUACUGUCACUAAACAAAAUACAGAUUGAUUUUUGGUCAGUGUAAAAAUAAAAGACUAAAAAACUAAAACUAAUUAGAUUAUGAACUACUUGCCUCUUUUUUGCAAGUUUGUGUAAAAUAAUAAAAUAUCAUUUUUGUAUGGGAAUUUAUUCUGUCGUGAUCUGCUUGUGUUUUACCUCUGCAGGGUAUCAGAGGUCCUAAUGGUCAAUAUGGUUUUCCUGGUCCAAGAGGGCCUGACGGAUUCCCCGGACGACCUGGUCUUCCUGGUCCCCCAGGGCUGAAUGGGACCCGUGGUGACGCACAUCGAGGAGAGAAAGGAGACAAGGGCGACGUGGGCUUGCCCGGUGACCCCGGCCAGCCAAUGAUCAAUGGCAUUGUGGAGUUUGUGAGUUUUACCAAAGGAGACAAAGGGAUGCAGGGUGAGCCGGGCCCAAAGGGAGUCAAAGGAUUUCCUGGCAGGCCUGGACAACCUGGAUUUGCCUGGUACCCUGCUGAACCCGGAGAGAAGGGCAUUCCUGGAUACCCCGGGGCAAGAGUAAGAGCUAAUGCCUGACUCUAUGAUAAUAACUAUAUAUAUUAGAGAAUAAAUACAUAAAAAUCCUGCCUUAACCUCAGCAUAG